UACGUAGGUGGCAAGCGUUGUCCGGAUUUAUUGGGCGUAAAGGGCGCGCAGGCGGUUCGUUUAGUCCGAGGUGAAAUCUCCCGGCUCAACUGGGAGGGGUCUUUGGAUACUGGCGGACUUGAGGUGAGCAGAGGUGAGCGGAAUUCUGGGUGUAGUGGUGAAAUGCGUAGAUAUCCAGAGGAACACCAGUGGCGAAGGCGGCUCACUGGGCUCCACCUGACGCUGAGGCGCGAAAGCGUGGGGAGCGAACCGG
rnacentral:rRNA from 1 species